CUACCGUUACCAAAAAGACAGACGACUUUUUGCGGCACAUUGCGGCGUCGACGAGUUUAAGGACGCAGCGAACCUUUUUGCGAUGGAAAGUUAUCGCGGUUAUCACUUCUUGCAUUUAAGCCUUCUUG
rnacentral:lncRNA from 1 species